GAGCCGCUCGCGCUGGCGUGCGGCGCGCUGCUGGCGCGGCUGGACCGCACGCUCGCCGCCGCGCACGCGCCGCCGCACGAUGAUCUGGAUAACGAGGAACCGGAAUACAGAAAAAUUGAUGAAUUACUACUAGAAUACCUUUCGAAUACGUAUGACGCCUAUACGCAGUACACGGAACGCGUCGGCACAUUAGUGGGUCUGGUGGAGAGCGUGCGACGAGUGGACGCCGCCGCCCGGCAGGAGUGCGCGGCGUUCGAGGCGCAGUCGCCGCUGCCGCUCGCCUGCCUGCUGCUGCGGCCGCCGCACCGCGCGCUGCGUCUGUACACCGUC